rnacentral:rRNA from 1 species
UACGUAGGGCGCAAGCGUUGUCCGGAAUUAUUGGGCGUAAAGAGCUCGUAGGUGGCGUGUCGCGUCUGCCGUGAAAGCCCAUGGCUUAACUGUGGGUCUGCGGUGGAUACGGGCAGGCUGGAGGCUGGUAGGGGCAAGCGGAAUUCCUGGUGUAGCGGUGAAAUGCGCAGAUAUCAGGAGGAACACCGGUGGCGAAGGCGGCUUGCUGGGCCAGUUCUGACGCUGAGGAGCGAAAGCGUGGGGAGCGAACAGGA